rnacentral:rRNA from 1 species
GACAGAGGUGGCGAGCGUUAUCCGGAUUGACUGGGCGUAAAGAGCGCGCAGGCGGUCGUUCAAGUCGAGUGUGAAAGCCCCCGGCUCAACUGGGGAGGGUCAUUCGAUACUGAUCGACUCGAAGGCAGGAGAGGGUAGUGGAAUUCCCGGUGUAGUGGUGAAAUGCGUAGAUAUCGGGAGGAACACCAGUGGCGAAGGCGACUACCUGGCCUGUUCUUGACGCUGAGGCGCGAAAGCUAGGGGAGCAAACGGG